rnacentral:sRNA from 1 species
GCCGGGUGUGUUGGCACGCACCUGUAGUCCCAGCUACUCGGGAGGCUGGGGCAUGAGAAUCGCUUGAGCCUGGGAGGCAGGGGUUGCAGUGAGCUGAGAUCGCACCACUGCACUCCAGCUUGGGCUACAGAGUGAGACUCUGUCUCAA